UGAGGCUGACUUGCUUAGGAGCU
rnacentral:miRNA from 1 species